UCUAGAGCCAAAUUUGUUUCGACCUGUUCUGCGGUUCAUGUAUCUACUUUUCCUGCCUUUUCAGCGAUCGUCACUUGCAGGUUUUCCUUCGGUUUUGUUGUGGGUUCAUGUAUCUACUUUUCCUGGCUUUUCAGCACUAUUCGUUCUGUUUCUUUUUUCGAUUGUUCUCCAGUUCUUUCUUCAGCUUACCGCGGGUGGUUUGGGUGUUUAUCGGUGAGUUGGUGGGUUUAGGGGCUUUGGUGCUGUCUUUGCUUCAAUUUCUUGGCCGUAGGUCUUGCUUUUUUGUAGCUUUAUGUAUUUGCAGACGAUCUUGAGUGAAGAAAGUGAGAAUGAAGAACAGACGUGCUUCGACUGCCUCAGGCGUCGAAUCAGAGCCGAUUUCUUUGAUCAGCUCAUCUCUUCCUAUGCUAUCUCUGAUUCCACCCUCUCUUUCUCCUCCACCGCCGUCGUUCACGUGUACAAAUACAGCAAUACGGGCAGUUGUAUUGUACCCAUCUGGGGAAUUCUCUGGUUGUAGGAUUCUAGAGCGCGAUACAGGAUGAAAUCUGCUGCUUUGGCCGCCAAUGACAGAGUCACCAGAGGAAGCUUCCGUAGCACCUCCCAAAGGCAAUUCAUGCAUUGGUAAUCCCCAAAUCACGACAGAUCAUACUCGAUUUCUAGGAUCGAGAUCGCUAACUCAUCAAUGUCCGCUAUCGGGGAUUCACACGAGAAAUCGAUAUCUUCGAAGGACAGUGCGCACCGGAGGUUGGAGUAUGUGAGGCACGGGAGAGUUGUGACGGAGGAUAGCCGUGUUGGUGUUGAUUGCAAAACUAACUACUAUCAGGAAAUUCAAACAUUCUGCUUCAUAUUUGAUUAUGAAACUAACUACUACCUCUACUAGUACAAGUUCUGGUGUCAAUGGCGAUUACAAGCUCAAAAGGUUCUAAGAAGAAGACUUUUCCAGAUGCAAGAAGAUUGGGGAAGAAGAUGAGACAUAACGAUUUUUCUUUCUUAAUUAGGAAAGAUUUUUGACUUUUUAAAGCUUUUGAUUUUAUUUUUUGACGUGGCACAUUUUAUAAAUGUGAAAAAUGACAUGUAUAUGUCACGUACCCACUCCGGUUGCCAUGUAAGCAAAAACCGACACUAUCCCACCGAAAUUUGAAAAUCUGGACAGAAUUAGAUAGUUUUUUCAAA